rnacentral:misc_RNA from 1 species
UCUCCGUUGGUGAACCGGCGGAGGGAUCAUUACAGAAUUGCAAAACUUCCCAACCCUCGUGAACGUUACCUCACCCGUGGCUUCGGCGGGCGGCCCGGGCCCCGCACCCGGCGCCCCCCGGCCACCCGUGGGCGCCCGCCGGCGGUAAACCAAACCCUUGAAUUGCAUGGCCACUAUAAGUCUUCUGUUCUGAAUAAGCCAAAACUUUCAACAACGGAUCUCUUGGUUCUG